AUGGCAAUUUACCUAAUCUGCAUGUCUUUUGACUGUAGGAGGAAACCAGAGUACCCGGAAGAAACCCACCAAGCACAGGGAGAACAUGCCACACACAACAGCAUAACAGACUAACCACUUCACCACAGUUCCAGCUCUCAAAAUAUACUUUCUUACUUAUCCUCUAUACCUAUAUUAAUCCUGUAUACUGGGUCGCGAGGCCUGGAGGCUAUCGAUUCAGGGCAUGAGACAGAGUGCCAAUCCAUCGCAUGACCCGCAAACACACACACACACACACACACACACACUAUGUGCAAUUUGGGAACACUGCAUGUUUUUAGACUGUGGGAGGAAACCUGAGUACCCGGAGGAAACCCACCAAGCACAGGCAAGAACAUGCAAACUCCGCACACACAGAGACGGGAAUGAAACCUUCGACCCAUGAGGUGGGAGGCCAGAUCCUCUCAAAAUGUAUAAUUAAAAAUAAAAAAUGUAUUCCUAUUAAGAAUCUUCAAGUUUUGUUAUUUUUGUCAAAGGCGCUAUACAGAUAAAACUGAGCAGGAAUGACAUGUUCAAGUGACUGAGUGAGUGAGUAAGUAAGUGAAUGAUGUUUGCUCAUCAUAAUUAAAUGUUGCAAUAACUGCCAAAGAUGUUUUUUGGGGGAUUUCAUGGGGGUGUUGUUUGUGUUUGUUUGCAUGGCAAGCAUAAAAAUGUCAGCAUUUUUAUUCUAAAACUGUAAACUUCAAUGAAACUGAAAGUAAACGAAAUCGGCAGGUUCAUCCUGAAAAACAGUGUGUAUGUGUGUGUGUGUGUGAGAAAGAGAGAGAGAGAGGUGUUAAAUUAUCAGGUCUGAAAUCCUGUCACAACCCUUCCCAGCCUGAAGCGCCGCUCGCGCGACCCCCACAGCGCCGCUCGCGCGAUCUGAUCCGCCGAAUAACGGUUCAAACGGCUAAAAACAAAUUAGUGCUGAAGCAGCAGCGUUACAGUCUCACAGCAAGCACGGCGUUUCCUCUCAGUAAGGUAUGUUAUAUGGAUUGAUCCAAGGACACUGAGUAGACAGCGAACCGUGAAAGUGAAAGGAGGUGGGGAAGUGCUUUAACCUCUCGGGGGGCCCUGAAUUCCUACAGCUGCCCCUCGCCAUGAGGAGGGGAGGAGGGGAGGAGCCAUGCAUGGCAGCAGCUCCCUAGUGCCUACCCAGGGAAGCCGUUAGCCAGCAGUUCGCUGUCCGGAAGGUCCAUGAAGAUGGAAG